CCCGUUGCAAAACCUUUUUGGCUCGGUGCGUGGCCCCAGAAUAGCAGCAGGUAUUGCAUGGCCAGGGGCCCGCGGCCGCGCUGCUCGGGGCUGGGAGCCCUCCCCCGGGACCUCUGUGGGCCCCCCCACCCCGCAGCGAGCACCCUUGGGUGCCCCUCGGACCCCAAAUCCCACGGGGUGGGGGGCGUCGGGGCCAGGUGGGUUUGGGGAGCGCCACGUGCCCUCACCAACCGGGCACGAGGAGCUCUGCGAUGGCUCUGGGGUGCUGAAAAAGUGGGGAAUUUGGCUUUUUUUAUUUUUUUCAAAUUUUUUUUGGCUCUGGGGAGCGCGCGGCCCCCCCCCCCCGAGGGGAGCGUGCCAGCGGCGCGGGGGCGAGCGCGGGGCCGCGAGCAUCUCCCUGUCGCUAAAUACGGCCACGCACCAGCUGGGGCUGCUGCACGGCUCAUUUCCAGCACCCAAAGAGGCUCUGGGAAAAAAAGGGGGGGGCUCAGGAGUGUGCCCCCCCCACCCAAUUUGGGUGCCAGGGUCCCCAUAACGCCCGGGGGUGCAUCCCGUGCCCGUCCCUGCCUCGGUUUCCCCUCCCUGCAGAGUUUUGGGGGGUGCUGGCCCUGCUUUGGCAGGGGUUUGGGGUAUGGGGUAACCCCCCAGGGGGGGUCUCAGCUCUCAGCCCCCCCAGAGCCUCGGUCACCUCCUGUCCCCAUGUCCCCAACGGCCCAGGCGGGUUUUGGAGGUGGCAGCAGGUGCCGGUGCCGGUGUCCCCUCCCCAAGUUCAUAACUCACUUUUUUUUUGGGGUGUUCCUGUAGGAAAAGACCUGGUGGGGAUCCCCCUUUUUUGGGAAUACCCCUUUUUUGGGAAUCCCCCGUUUUGGGGCUCCCCUUUUUGGGAUUCCCCUUUUUUGGGAUUCCCCUUUUUGGGGAUCCCUCUUUUUGGGGGUCCCCUCAGAGGGGUUCCUGGGGGGACUCGGCCCCGCGUGUCCCCACGUCCCGCAGCGCUGCCCCCAACCCCUUCCAUCCCCACCCCACACCUCGUCCCCGCAGGUCCCUCCUGGGUGCCACCCAUGGGUGCUGGGGCC
rnacentral:lncRNA from 1 species